rnacentral:rRNA from 1 species
GAUGAACGCUGGCGGCGUGCUUAACACAUGCAAGUCGAACGAUGAAGCCCAGCUUGCUGGGUGGAUUAGUGGCGAACGGGCGAGUAACACGUGAGUAACCUGCCCUUAACUCUGGGAUAAGCCUGGGAAACUGGGUCUAAUACCGGAUAGGAGCGUCCACCGCAUGGUGGGUGUUGGAAAGAUUUAUCGGUUUUGGAUGGACUCGCGGCCUAUCAGCUUGUUGGUGAGGUAAUGGCUCACCAAGGCGACGACGGGUAGCCGGCCUGAGAGGGUGACCGGCCACACUGGGACUGAGACACGGCCCAGACUCCUACGGGAGGCAGCAGUGGGGAAUAUUGCACAAUGGGCGCAAGCCUGAUGCAGCGACGCCGCGUGAGGGAUGACGGCCUUCGGGUUGUAAACCUCUUUCAGUAGGGAAGAAGCGAAAGUGACGGUACCUGCAGAAGAAGCACCGGCUAACUACGU